ensembl:lncRNA
GGCCGAUGCUGCAGGGAUGUAAUGAGGUGAUGUAAUUACACAGGCCGAUGCUGCAGGGAUGUAGAGGUCAUGUGAUGUAAUUACACAGGCCGAUGCUGCAGGGAUGUAGAGGUCAUGUGGUGUAAUUACACAGGCCGAUGCUGCAGGGAUGUAGAGGUCAUUUGAAGCAGCCUUUCUUCCAUCGCGUGUUUGGAACAAUGACAAAGACAUCGGCAACUUUGUAUUCUGUCGUCAACUCCGCUCUGAAGUGACCUGGCGGGCACCGUCAGGCAGAGAUCAACAUCUUGAUGUAUGUUCAGUGAGAUCUGAGUUUACAGUGUACAACAUCUAGCACUUAGCUGACAUUUGUUUGUUUUUUUAACAAGCUUUUUCAAGUACAACAUUAAUAUAAUGAUGGUUUUGGGAAACAUUGAAGGAGAUUUAAUGAUGCUCCUAACGAAGGUUUUAAAGAGGAAUUUAUUAGUCUUACGAUGCUUCUGAGAAAUCAGUCUCUCUGGGUCUCCUGUUCUCUCACCCAGAGGAUUAUGGUUGUAUCCUAAAUGGCACGUCUCUCUCCCUCCCUGCUAGAGGCACCU